GACGAACGCUGGCGGCGUGCUUAACACAUGCAAGUCGAACGGAAAGGCCCUGCUUUUGUGGGGUUCUCGAUUGGCGAACGGGUGAGUAACACGUGAGUAACCUGCCCUUGACUUUGGGAUAACUUCAGGAAACUGGGGCUAAUACCAGAUAGGAUCUCCUGCUGCAUUGUGGGGGUUGGAAAGUUUCGGCGGUUGGGGAUGGGCUCGCGGCUUAUCAGCUUGUUGGUGGGGUAGUGGCUUACCAAGGCUUUGACGGGUAGCCGGCCUGAGAGGGUGACCGGCCACAUUGGGACUGAGAUACGGCCCAGACUCCUACGGGAGGCAGCAGUGGGGAAUAUUGCACAAUGGGCGGAAGCCUGAUGCAGCAACGCCGCGUGCGGGAUGACGGCCUUCGGGUUGUAAACCGCUUUCGCCUGUGACGAAGCGUGAGUGACGGUAAUGGGUAAAGAAGCACCGGCUAACUACGUG
rnacentral:rRNA from 1 species